AUCGCUUCUCGGCCUUUUGGCUAAGAUCAAGUGUUAAUUUUUCCAGCAAAUUUCUAAUUAUCAACAUUCUUCUUGUUGUCAAAAUAAAGAUUUGCUGCACUUUGUUAUCAUAUUUUCAACUGC